rnacentral:rRNA from 1 species
UACGUAGGGGGCAAGCGUUGUCCGGAAUCAUUGGGCGUAAAGAGCGCGUAGGCGGCCCUGUAAGUCCGCUGUGAAAGUCAAGGGCUCAACCCUUGGAUGCCGGUGGAUACUGCAGGGCUAGAGUCCGGAAGAGGCGAGUGGAAUUCCCGGUGUAGCGGUGAAAUGCGCAGAUAUCGGGAGGAACACCAAUGGCGAAGGCAGCUCGCUGGGACGGUACUGACGCUGAGGCGCGAAAGCGUGGGGAGCAAACAGG